CCGAGGUACGACGUAUCGUCCGGGGCAGA
rnacentral:sRNA from 1 species